AGGGUUUAAGUUUUGAAAAAUACUGGACUGUCAGACCAGAGACGUAGAGUGAAAUCUGCAGACCUUG
rnacentral:tRNA from 1 species